rnacentral:ncRNA from 2 species
GUACUGCUAGAAUUUGUGGGUUCAACUAAAUUUUUUAGUUGAUUAAAAAGGAAUCAGGUUAAAAUCCUGAGCGGUCCCGCCACUGUAAGAAAGGAGUUUAAGUACAAUAGGUCACUGGGAAACUGGGAAGACGUACUUAAAUUAUGAUUUUCAAGCCAGGAGACUUGCCAUAUUCUAUUAUAUUUU